rnacentral:rRNA from 1 species
UACGUAGGGCGCAAGCGUUAUCCGGAAUUAUUGGGCGUAAAGAGCUCGUAGGCGGUUUGUCGCGUCUGCCGUGAAAGUCCGGGGCUCAACUCCGGAUCUGCGGUGGGUACGGGCAGACUAGAGUGAUGUAGGGGAGACUGGAAUUCCUGGUGUAGCGGUGAAAUGCGCAGAUAUCAGGAGGAACACCGAUGGCGAAGGCAGGUCUCUGGGCAUAACUGACGCUGAGGAGCGAAAGCAUGGGAGCGAACAGG